rnacentral:misc_RNA from 1 species
CAGGGUCUGACGACUGCCCAAAACACACCGUGAACCAUCCUCUCUACCUUGCUCCGGCGGGCCGCUCGCUGGGGGAGCCCAGGCCGCUGCGUUGCGGUGGCCUGCCGGAGCAAACCAACCCAAAACCUACUUCGUAACGUAUCUCUGAGAACUUUCUGAAAAGAAAAUCA